GACGGAGGGGGCUAGCGUUGUUCGGAAUUACUGGGCGUAAAGAGCGCGUAGGCGGCUCGGCAAGUUGGAAGUGAAAGCCCGGGGCUUAACCUCGGAACUGCUUUCAAAACUGCUGGGCUAGAGUAUGGUAGGGGGUGAUGGAAUUCCUAGUGUAGAGGUGAAAUUCUUAGAUAUUAGGAGGAACACCGGUGGCGAAGGCGGUCACCUGGGCCAUUACUGACGCUGAGGCGCGAAAGCGUGGGGAGCAAACAGG
rnacentral:rRNA from 1 species